rnacentral:rRNA from 1 species
GUCAAAGCAUUGGGCUCAGGCAGCUUGUGAUCAGAACAAGUGGAAUACCAGCGUCGACUGGGACUGCUCUGACUGCAGCUUAGAGUACGGCAGACGAGGAUGGAUACUGCGUGUAGCAGUCGAAAUGCGUAGAUUAUGUCGGGAGGGGAACACCCCACGGGGCGGAGGCAAUCCUUCUCGGGCCUGUACUGACGCUCAUGCACGAAAGCGUGGGGAGCAGAACCAGAAUUAGGAUACCCUCGUUAGUUCCACCGCCCCUAAAACGAAGUCAACUGGUUGUUGGGAGGGGUUUUUUUCUUCAGUAACGUAGCUAACGCGUGAAGUUGACCGCCUGGGGGAGUACGGCCGCAAGGUUGAAACUCAAAAGGAAUUGACGGGGACCCCGCACACAGCGGUGGAUGAUGUGGUUUAAUUUGAUGCAACGCGAAAAAACCUUUACUUACCCCUUGACAUGCCAGGAAUCCUGCAGAGAUGUGGGAGUGCUCGAAAGAGAACCUGGACACAGGUGCUGCAUGGCCGUCGUCAGCUCGUGUCGUGAGAUGUUGGGUUAAGUCCCGCAACGAGCGCAACCCUUGUCAUUAGUUGCUACGAAAGGGCACUCUAAUGAGACUGCCGGUGACAAACCGGAGGAAGGUGGGGAUGACGUCAGGUCAUCAUGGCCCUUAUGGGUAGGGGUACACACGUCAUACAAUGGCCGGGACAGAGGGCUGCCAACCCGCGAGGGGGAGGUAAUCCCAGAAACCCGGUCGUAGUCCGGAUCGCAGUCUGCAACUCGACUGCGUGAAGUCGGAAUCGCUAGUAAUCGCGGAUCAGCUUGCCGCGGUGAAUACGUUCCCGGGUCUUGUACACACCGCCCGUCACACCAUGGGAGCGGGUUUUGCCAGAAGUAGUUAGCCUAACCGCAAGGAGGGCGAUUACCACGGCAGGGUUCGUGACUGGGGUGAAGUGUAACAAGGUAACC